GGAUAACAUACCGAAAGGUAUGCUAAUACGGGAUAAUAUAUUUGAGAGGCAUCUCUUGAAUAUCAAAGGUGAGCCAGUACAGGAUGGACCCGCGUCUGAUUAGCUAGUUGGUAAGGUAAAGGCUUACCAAGGCGACGAUCAGUAGCCGACCUGAGAGGGUGAUCGGCCACAUUGGAACUGAGACACGGUCCAAACUCCUACGGGAGGCAGCAGUGGGGAAUAUUGCACAAUGGGCGAAAGCCUGAUGCAGCAACGCCGCGUGAGUGAUGAAGGCCUUCGGGUCGUAAAACUCUGUCCUCAAGGAAGAUAAUGACGGUACUUGAGGAGGAAGCCCCGGCUAACUACGUGCCAGCAGCCGCGGUAAUACGUAGGGGGCUAGCGUUAUCCGGAUUUACUGGGCGUAAAGGGUGCGUAGGCGGUCUUUCAAGUCAGGAGUGAAAGGCUACGGCUCAACCGUAGUAAGCUCUUGAAACUGGGAGACUUGAGUGCAGGAGAGGAGAGUGGAAUUCCUAGUGUAGCGGUGAAAUGCGUAGAUAUUAGGAGGAACACCAGUUGCGAAGGCGGCUCUCUGGACUGUAACUGACGCUGAGGCACGAAAGCGUGGGGAGCAAACAGGAUUAGAUACCCUGGUAGUCCACGCUGUAAACGAUGAGUACUAGGUGUCGGGGGUUACCCCCUUCGGUGCCGCAG
rnacentral:rRNA from 1 species